CGCACGGGUGAGUAACACGUAUCCAACCUGCCUCAUACUCGGGGAUAGCCUUUCGAAAGAAAGAUUAAUAUCCGAUAGCAUAUAUUUCCCGCAUGGGUUUUAUAUUAAAGAAAUUCGGUAUGAGAUGGGGAUGCGUUCCAUUAGUUUGUUGGCGGGGUAACGGCCCACCAAGACUACGAUGGAUAGGGGUUCUGAGAGGAAGGUCCCCCACAUUGGAACUGAGACACGGUCCAAACUCCUACGGGAGGCAGCAGUGAGGAAUAUUGGUCAAUGGACGCGAGUCUGAACCAGCCAAGUAGCGUGAAGGAUGACUGCCCUAUGGGUUGUAAACUUCUUUUAUAUGGGAAUAAAGUGGUUCACGUGUGGAUUUUUGUAUGUACCAUAUGAAUAAGGAUCGGCUAACUCCGUGCCAGCAGCCGCGGUAAUACGGAGGAUCCGAGCGUUAUCCGGAUUUAUUGGGUUUAAAGGGAGCGUAGGCGGAUUGUUAAGUCAGUUGUGAAAGUUUGCGGCUCAACCGUAAAAUUGCAGUUGAUACUGGCAGUCUUGAGUGCAGUAGAGGUGGGCG
rnacentral:rRNA from 1 species